rnacentral:rRNA from 1 species
UNGGAGCUCUCCCNUAUGGUCGACCUGCAGGCGGCCGCGAAUUCACUAGUGAUUAGAGUUUGAUCCUGGCUCAGGAUGAACGCUAGCUACAGGCUUAACACAUGCAAGUCGAGGGGCAGCAUGAACUUAGCUUGCUAAGUUUGAUGGCGACCGGCGCACGGGUGAGUAACACGUAUCCAACCUGCCGAUGACUCGGGGAUAGCCUUUCGAAAGAAAGAUUAAUACCCGAUGGCAUAGUUCUUCCGCAUGGUGGAACUAUUAAAGAAUUUCGAUAACCGAUGGGGAUGCGUUCCAUUAGUUUGUUGGCGGGGUAACGGCCCACCAAGACAUCGAUGGAUAGGGGUUCUGAGAGGAAGGUCCCCCACAUUGGAACUGAGACACGGUCCAAACUCCUACGGGAGGCAGCAGUGAGGAAUAUUGGUCAAUGGACGAGAGUCUGAACCAGCCAAGUAGCGUGAAGGAUGACUGCCCUAUGGGUUGUAAACUUCUUUUAUAUGGGAAUAAAGUGCAGUAUGUAUACUGUUUUGUAUGUACCAUACGAAUAAGGAUCGGCUAACUCCGUGCCAGCAGCCGCGGUAAUACGGAGGAUCCGAGCGUUAUCCGGAUUUAUUGGGUUUAAAGGGAGCGUAGGCGGACUAUUAAGUCAGCUGUGAAAGUUUGCGGCUCAACCGUAAAAUUGCAGUUGAUACUGGUCGUCUUGAGUGCAGUAGAGGUAGGCGGAAUUCGUGGUGUAGCGGUGAAAUGCUUAGAUAUCACGAAGAACUCCGAUUGCGAAGGCAGCUUACUGGACUGUAACUGACGCUGAUGCUCGAAAGUGUGGGUAUCAAACAGGAUUAGAUACCCUGGUAGUCCACACAGUAAACGAUGAAUACUCGCUGUUUGCGAUAUACAGCAAGCGGGCCAAGCGAAAGCAUUAAGUAUUCCACCUGGGGAGUACGCCCGGNNCNGUGAAACUCAAAGGAANUNGA